rnacentral:misc_RNA from 1 species
UUUCCGUAGGUGAACCUGCGGAGGGAUCAUUAUUGUAUAACCUAGGUGCUAGCGCUUUCGCUGCCCCUAUACCUCUUGCACGGCCGACUGCCCUCACACACCGCCAUCGCAGCCCUAUGUACACCACCGCGUGGAUCCCCCUUUUGCUUGUGCGGGGUGGAGGUGACGUGUUCAAACUAACUUCAACGGCACUCUUGGAUGUAUUUUUGGUUUUUGCGAUAGCACAAUCGAUACACCUUUCAACGACCGAUAUCUUGGCUCUCGCAUCGAUGACGAACG